rnacentral:RNase_P_RNA from 1 species
AAGGAUGGCGAAUGCAGCCGCUGCGAUCCCGGAUGUAAAUCCGGCCGCAGAGGAAAGUCCGAGCACCAUAGAGCAGGAUGCCUGGUAACGCCAGGGCCCGCAAGGGACGGCAAGUGCAACAGAGAGUAGACCGCCCGGGGCGCGGCGUGGCAACACGCGGCACUUCGGGUAAGGGUGAAAGGGUGCGGUAAGAGCGCACCAGCGCGACCGGUAACGGCCGCGGCUGGGUAAACCCCAUCCGGUGCAAGGCCAAAUAGGGCCGGACGUGGCAAAGGCGAAAGCCCGCGCCAGAGUGGCUGCUCGCUGCUCAGGGUCUCACGACCCCGUUAUCGGCCGGGUCGGCUGCUGGAGUUCCGGCGUGAGUCGGAAUCGAGAGUAAUGGCUGCACGCGGCGCGCAGGUGUCGCGAACAGAACUCGGCUUAUCACCGCCCGAGCAA